AGGACACCAAGGUCCAGCCGACACCACAGACCCCGGCUUGGCACUCUGGACUUCUUGCUUUAGCUCUCAAGGGACCUGAGAUGACAGGCUCCAUGAGGGGAAACCUUUGGCUUUCCCCAUAUACAACAUUACCUAGGAUGAGCUGGAUGUCCAAAUGCGGACGGCAUCUCUUCAUGAAGCAGACAUUAUUGGAAGCUUUGCAAUGGACAGCUUUAAGGAAGAAAGAACCCACUGACCGGCUCUGAACACUUGACAGAAGUAUGACACGACAAAUUUCAGUACCAGGGAUGAGGUCACUGCUGUGACUGUACCUGACCAUGUGACUCAGAAGCCUUCAGAACUGUUCACCAAAGCAAUUUGGGAAGGUUUAGACAUGCCAGACAAUAAGGCCCUGCAGUACUGCAAACCAAGCUGGAUGAGAGCUUCAAAGCUCACAAGACCAGAACGCUGGUAGAAAUACAGACAGUAAAGGCCAGGCUCCAAGGUUCUAGCCGGAAACAAGGAUUUCACUGACAGCUGGACUCGACUAUGCUUUGACAGAAAAUUUAUCUACAUUUUCCUCAUGUCCUGAGCUUUGCAGGAGUCUGACAUUAAGGUCAGCCAACUAAUGUAUCCAGGGGGAGGAAAUUUCAACUUUUAGGCUUUGGCAUGGGUACUUCUGGUUGUCUUCAACCAGAUUUAUCGUGAGAAUUAGGUACAAAUAGAAGAACAAAAUAAUUUGGAAGUUUGCAGAAAGCACCUACCAUGUUGGAGCAAAGUAGAACAUGGCUGCUGAAAGACAAGCAUUAAAAAGAAACCAAAUAAUUUGCAUCAGGACAAUAGGAAAAUGGCUUGAAAGCUUCUCAAGAAUCAGCAAGACCUGACCUUCACACACGCAAAGAUGCACUGCCCUGAGUUCAGCCCUCCAGGUGCUCAGAGGCACUACAGCCAGCUGAGCUACUGCUACUGCACCUGGCUGCUGCUGGAUCUGGAGGCCGCCUGGGCGUUAUCCACGUGGUGCUGACUUUACAAAUAUGCAGAAUGCAAGGGUUAUGGGGUCUGAAAGGCUUCCUCCCUAAUUUCAAAGGGAAACAGAAGAGGCCAGGCAGUGUGCCCUGGAGAGGGCAGUGUGUGAAGCUCGAGAGUGAAGCCAGAAGUACAGUGGAGACCACAGGAAUCUGGUGAUCCAGAAUAUGGCACCUCUGCUGUGGAAAGCUGCAGGCAGUGGGUGGAAGCAGCCCAGAGGAAGGCAGUGAGGGCUUGCAGCUGUGUAGGAGUAGGACUGCCCGGGCCUUUUGGAGCUCACGGCUACCCACAGCCUGCCCCAAACGCUGGGCAUGAAACUGCAAGGAUGCAAUGUUUGCCCUGCUGGGUUUUGUCUUGCUUUGGUCUGCUUUGGUCUUACUUUUGUCUGACGUCUUUCUAUUCCCUAAUUUCCCCGCUUUGGAAUAGGAAUAUGUAGUGUGUGGGAUUGUAUAUUGGAAAUAGUUGAUUUUCUUUUUAACUUUUAUAGGUACAAAUAAAAAUUUGAAUCUCA